rnacentral:lncRNA from 1 species
UGAUAUUGUGAGAGCUCUUUGAGAGUGUUCAUACAAGUGUGGGUAUCACUUGUGACAAGUGUGGAAUCACUUGUGUUGGUUGCUUGUUUUGAAACGUUGGUUGCUUGGGGAUUCCGUUCCCUUGAGGUCACCGUAAGAACUUGAUGUUAUUUGUAUGAAUUCUUGGGUCUUAGUGUUCAAUAUACACUUUGGUUCAUAGUGUUUGUGCAUUGUGUGUCAAGUUAUCUAUCAUUCUAUCUUAUUAUUGUUGUUGUGUUCAUUCUCGGUUUUGGGUCUCCAAACCCGAGACCUUGUUGUGUCAUUUUUGUUCUUGUUAUUGUGUUGUAACCU